CGGAGGGUGCAAGCGUUAUCCGGAUUCACUGGGUUUAAAGGGUGCGUAGGUGGGUCUGUAAGUCCGUGGUGAAAUCUCUAAGCUUAACUUGGAAACUGCCAUGGAUACUAUUGGUCUUGAAUACCGUGGAGGUGAGCGGAAUAUGUCAUGUAGCGGUGAAAUGCUUAGAUAUGACAUAGAACACCAAUUGCGAAGGCAGCUCACUACACGAAUAUUGACACUGAGGCACGAAAGCGUGGGGAUCAAACAGGAUU
rnacentral:rRNA from 1 species